rnacentral:tRNA from 1 species
AUCUCUUGAUUCUGGCUAGCUCAGAUGGUUAGAGCGUGGUGCUGACAAUGCCAAGGUUGCAGGUUUGAUCCCCAUAUGGGACA